GUGUGUUUAGCUCAGUUGGUAGAGCACCUGUGUAGAGUACAGAACUGACAGGUUUGGACCCUGAAGUGUGCA